rnacentral:rRNA from 1 species
CCUACGGGAGGCAGCAGUGAGGAAUAUUGGUCAAUGGACGCAAGUCUGAACCAGCCAUGCCGCGUGCAGGAAGACGGCUCUAUGAGUUGUAAACUGCUUUUGUACGAGGGUAAACGCAGAUACGCGUAUCUGUCUGAAAGUAUCGUACGAAUAAGGAUCGGCUAACUCCGUGCCAGCAGCCGCGGUAAUACGGAGGAUUCAAGCGUUAUCCGGAUUUAUUGGGUUUAAAGGGUGCGUAGGCGGUCGGAUAAGUUAGAGGUGAAAUCCCGAGGCUCAACUUCGGAAUUGCCUCUGAUACUGUUCGGCUAGAGAGUAGUUGCGGUAGGCGGAAUGUAUGGUGUAGCGGUGAAAUGCUUAGAGAUCAUACAGAACACCGAUUGCGAAGGCAGCUUACCAAGCUACUUCUGACGUUGAGGCACGAAAGCGUGGGGAGCAUACAGGAUUAGAUACCCUAGUAGUC